CUUUGCUGACACUUGCAGGAACCACCGCGUUUGCGAAUGCGUGUGGUAUAAUCUCAAAAUGCCAGGUUGCGCAAAACAGUUGCCGCAGUCUUUCAGAAAUCGCAGAACCACUGAUUCGUGCCUUCGAUGAGCAUUGCUGCAGUUCCUUUGCGCUGCCUUUACUUGAAUAGAAGACCACUGUUAGUAAUGUGCAACAGGCCUGUAUUCAGUCGCGAUGUAAACAAGGUGGCACCUCCCACGCGCAAACACAUCCGUAUGCACUGCACUGUUAGUGCUGGAAAUGUUGUCCCCUUCUGCUGAUGUUUUUUGUGCCCACGAAGAUCUAACCUGUCUCUGCAUCGUUUACUACAAAUAGCCGCAAGUGCUGAAUGAUGCUGGUUGGCUCAUUCCAGAAUGUAGCCUCACAAAUGCGAUGAGCCUAGCCGAAGGUAUCGCUGCGAAAAUGGCAUGCCACGCCCCUUCCAAGGUCAUUGGCCAGGUCGAGGUUGGCACGCAGUGCAGCUUGCCUCUGGCUGACAAGUCUGUUGGGUGCUCCUUCAGAGCAGGCAGUGAGUCGAGGAGCGUGCAGACUACAGGGACUGUGGAUCAAUCAGUCUCCACCUCAGGAUCGACGCCUUCUAUUUCUCCAUCAACAGCCAACGGUCACGAUUCACAGCAGGGUUUCCCGCACCAAAACCAUCCUUCUGGCCAUAAGACUGAUAAAUUGUUCCGUCUAGAAGCACAUGUCAGGGUCUAUAGAGGAGGGCGUUGGUUCACGUGCCAUUUGUGCCCUCGCAGCUUUGCAAAAAAAGAGACCCUGAAGAAGCAUUUGUGUGUGCACAUGGGUGAGCGGCCAUUUCAGUGUACUUUAUGCCUUGAGAGGUUCUCACGGAAGACCCACCUGGAAGCUCACCUGCGCACCCACGCAGGUGAGAAGCCAUGGCAUUGCCCUUCGUGCCCUCAAAGCUUCUCGCGCAAGUCCAGCGUGAAAGCCCACCUGCGCACCCACACAAGCGAGAAGCCAUUCAAUGUCAUUCAUGUCUUCAGAGCUUUGCACAAAAGUCCCACCUGAAAACCCAUCUGUGCAACCAGACAGGCAUGCCAUCGGCUGCUCUGAAGGCUGGGCUGACAGGUUGUGUUGUUUAUGUCCGGGGGCAUCCCGGCCUUGCAAACUUCGGGCCAUUGUGCUGAAAGGCAAGAAGACAGGAGAGCAAGGGGAAGGUGCUGCUGCCUCGCGAACCUGCACAUGACGCCUGCAGCCGCAGUAGGAGUACUGGUCAUGGCACCAAAUGCAAAGAAUUGAGACAGAUGCCAUGGCUACCCUGAUUUUCCUCUCUUACUGGAACUCUAGCGAAAACAAUAAUGAUAGGUAAGAGAUGCUACCUUCUUCUUCUAUAUGCGACAGGUACGCAAGCAUGCAAGGCAAGAAAACAGGAAUAUUAGGGGGCGGUUUAUGUACCUAUUACAUAAGGAACCAAUCACUGGGGACUAUGAAGCUCCGGAAGAGAAAAGUGAAGGGGAUAGUCGGAACAUGGAGGAAAGCCACAUAGGAAGAAGUUUGCCCAGGGGACUGUGCCGAAGACAUGCUGUCCGUUUUUGGAACCAGGCUGCCAAAACUUCACUGGAGCAGGACAACCAGUCAAGGCUUGGCCAACACAUCGCUACCAGAGUAAGCUUUGCAACUUCACCAGCCACAGAAUGCUAACACAAGGCCUAUGAGCUCCCAUUUCUGUGGCCAGAACACAACCUUACAAGCUUCUGCCUCGCCAGGCCAGGACAAUUCCUCCUAGUGUUCCUGUUGAAGGUUCCUGAUAUGGCCUCUGCUUCUUUGGCGAAGUGUAGACAUUGAAUAAAUGGAAAAUCAG